rnacentral:lncRNA from 1 species
AUCUCACUAAUCCUUAAUAUUUUUAAUAAUAUAAACAAACUCAAAAUUCCAGCUAUUCAUGUGGUAAGUCUAUUAAAAACGUUUUGGUGUACAAGUGGGCAUUUGCAUUUGCAUCAUUUACAUUGAAGCGUUGAAAUUUGCAAGUAUAUAAAAGUUGCACACCUAAGCAUCAGCACAACAGAAAUAUGGAUACAACCACUGGGAAGAGUGGCAGAGUUUGAAUUAUUGGUAUAAUUUAUAAAUAAGAAUUAAUUAAUACAAGUGGAUUCAUUCAAACAAGAUAACUUAAUUAUCAUAAGUGCGGCACUCAUCGGUUUCAGGGUUGUCCUUGCAGAAGCUCUCCAGCGGGUCAGACUCCUUCUGCUUCGCUCUGGCGUGGCUCGCCUCAGCGCUCAGCUCCUCCACCUCAUCCCAAGCCGCUGCGCAUUCCGCGUCAGUCCCGCCUCCCGAGCAGGUCUCCUCCGCGCUCUUUAUGCUCUCCUCC